AGUUAGAAUAGGAACCUAGAUGUUGACAUAAUAAACCAGAUGUUCAAGAACAAUUAGGCUGUCAAGUCCAUGAAGAAGUCUACAGAAAAGCAGGCUUGAGUUUUGGGAUGAAAUGAUUGGGGAGUGUAAAUUGCAGCAAAAGAGUUCCCUGAAUUUGCAACCUCUUCCCAUUAAACAAUAUUGUAGGAAGAGGGGUGUUUGGUAAGCAAUUUACCUGGUUUCCUGCUCCACGGAUGACAACUUUAGUAGAGGCUGAAUCACAAUCUUCUGAAAAUGCAGCUGCAUGUCCUGGCUUCAGUGCUGUAUUGUAAAGGGCAAGAAUAUCACCUGAAAUAGACAAGAUGUUAAGAUUUACAUUUCCGUUGCCUUGAGAGUUCCCUGUUACUCCCACUUCUCCCUAUGGUGACCUUUUAUAGAAGACCAUAAAUAAACCACUACAGCCCACUGUAGCCCAUUGUUUUAUUUAGCAAUUG
rnacentral:lncRNA from 1 species